GACACCCAGUGCUCCUCUGUUGAACUCAAGAGCAGAAACUGUGUUGACUUCAACAGGAGCAAGACUCAGCCCU
rnacentral:pre_miRNA from 1 species